rnacentral:rRNA from 1 species
AUUGAACGCUGGCGGCAGGCCUAACACAUGCAAGUCGAGCGGUAACACAGAGGAGCUUGCUCCUUGGGUGACGAGCGGCGGACGGGUGAGUAAUGCCUGGGGAUCUGCCCGAUAGAGGGGGAUAACUACGGGAAACUGUAGCUAAUACCGCAUAAUGUCUACGGACCAAAGUGGGGGCUCUUCGGACCUCAUGCUAUCGGAUGAACCCAGGUGGGAUUAGCUAGUUGGUGAGGUAAUGGCUCACCAAGGCGACGAUCUCUAACUGGUUUGAGAGAAUGACCAGUCACACUGGAACUGAGACACGGUCCAGACUCCUACGGGAGGCAGCAGUGGGGAAUAUUGCACAAUGGGCGCAAGCCUGAUGCAGCCAUGCCGCGUGUGUGAAGAAGGCCUUCGGGUUGUAAAGCACUUUCAGCGGGGAGGAAGGGUCACUAGUUAAUACCUAGUGGCAUUGACGUUACUCGCAGAAGAAGCACCGGCUAACUCCGUGCCAGCCGCCGCAGUAA